UUUUAUGGAGAGUUUGAUCCUGGCUCAGAGUGAACGCUGGCGGCGUGCCUAAUACAUGCAAGUCGAACGAUGAAGCUUCUAGCUUGCUAGAAUGCUGAUUAGUGGCGCACGGGUGAGUAACGCAUAGGUCAUGUGCCUCUUAGUUUGGGAUAGCCAUUGGAAACGAUGAUUAAUACCAGAUACUCCCUACGGGGGAAAGAUUUAUCGCUAAGAGAUCAGCCUAUGUCCUAUCAGCUUGUUGGUAAGGUAAUGGCUUACCAAGGCUAUGACGGGUAUCCGGCCUGAGAGGGUGAACGGACACACUGGAACUGAGACACGGUCCAGACUCCUACGGGAGGCAGCAGUAGGGAAUAUUGCUCAAUGGGGGAAACCCUGAAGCAGCAACGCCGCGUGGAGGAUGAAGGUUUUAGGAUUGUAAACUCCUUUUGUUAGAGAAGAUAAUGACGGUAUCUAACGAAUAAGCACCGGCUAACUCCGUGCCAGCAGCCGCGGUAAUACGGAGGGUGCAAGCGUUACUCGGAAUCACUGGGCGUAAAGAGCGCGUAGGCGGGAUAGUCAGUCAGGUGUGAAAUCCUAUGGCUUAACCAUAGAACUGCAUUUGAAACUACUAUUCUAGAGUGUGGGAGAGGUAGGUGGAAUUCUUGGUGUAGGGGUAAAAUCCGUAGAGAUCAAGAGGAAUACUCAUUGCGAAGGCGACCUGCUGGAACAUUACUGACGCUGAUUGCACGAAAGCGUGGGGAGCAAACAGGAUUAGAUACCCUGGUAGUCCACGCCCUAAACGAUGGAUGCUAGUUGUUGGAGGGCUUAGUCUCUCCAGUAAUGCAGCUAACGCAUUAAGCAUCCCGCCUGGGGAGUACGGUCGCAAGAUUAAAACUCAAAGGAAUAGACGGGGACCCGCACAAGCGGUGGAGCAUGUGGUUUAAUUCGAAGAUACACGAAGAACCUUACCUAGGCUUGACAUUGAGAGAAUCCGCUAGAAAUAGUGGAGUGUCUGGCUUGCCAGACCUUGAAAACAGGUGCUGCACGGCUGUCGUCAGCUCGUGUCGUGAGAUGUUGGGUUAAGUCCCGCAACGAGCGCAACCCCCUUUCUUAGUUGCUAACAGGUUAUGCUGAGAACUCUAGGGAUACUGCCUCCGUAAGGAGGAGGAAGGUGGGGACGACGUCAAGUCAUCAUGGCCCUUACGCCUAGGGCUACACACGUGCUACAAUGGGGUGCACAAAGAGAAGCAAUACUGCGAAGUGGAGCCAAUCUUCAAAACACCUCUCAGUUCGGAUUGUAGGCUGCAACUCGCCUGCAUGAAGCUGGAAUCGCUAGUAAUCGCAAAUCAGCCAUGUUGCGGUGAAUACGUUCCCGGGUCUUGUACUCACCGCCCGUCACACCAUGGGAGUUGUGUUUGCCUUAAGUCAGGAUGCUAAAUUGGCUACUGCCCACGGCACACACAGCGACUGGGGUGAAGUCGUAACAAGGUAACCGUAGGUGAACCUGCGGUUGGAUCACCUCCUUUCUAGA
rnacentral:rRNA from 1 species